UACAGAGGGGGCAAGCGUUGUUCGGAAUUACUGGGCGUAAAGGGCGCGUAGGCGGCCUGUUAAGUCGAACGUGAAAUCCCCGGGCUCAACCCGGGAACUGCGUCCGAUACUGGCAGGCUUGAAUCCGGGAGAGGGAUGCGGAAUUCCAGGUGUAGCGGUGAAAUGCGUAGAUAUCUGGAGGAACACGGUGGCGAAGGCGGCAUCCUGGACCGGUAUUGACGCUGAGGCGCGAAAGCCAGGGGAGCAAACGGG
rnacentral:rRNA from 1 species